GAUGAAGAACGUAGCGAAAUGCGAUAAGUAAUGUGAAUUGCAGAAUUCAGUGAAUCAUCGAGUUUUUGAACGCAUAUUGCGCCCCUUGGUAUUCCAUGGGGCAUGCCUGUUCGAGCGUCAUUUGUACCUUCAAGCUCUGCUUGGUGUUGGGUGUUUGUCUCGCCUCUGCGUGUAGACUCGCCUCAAAAUAAUUGGCAGCCGGCGUAUUGAUUUCGGAGCGCAGUACAUCUCGCGCUUUGCACUCAUAACGACGACGUCCAAAAGUACAUUUUUACACUCUUGACCUCGGAUCAGGUAGGGAUACCCGCUGAACUUAAGCAUAUCAAUAAGCGGAGGA
rnacentral:misc_RNA from 1 species